UACGAAGGGGGCUAGCGUUGCUCGGAAUCACUGGGCGUAAAGGGUGCGUAGGCGGGUCUUUAAGUCAGGGGUGAAAUCCUGGAGCUCAACUCCAGAACUGCCUUUGAUACUGAAGAUCUUGAGUUCGGGAGAGGUGAGUGGAACUGCGAGUGUAGAGGUGAAAUUUGUAGAUAUUCGCAAGAACACCAGUGGCGAAGGCGGCUCACUGGCCCGGUACUGACGCUGAGGUGCGAAAGCGUGGGGAGCAAACAGG
rnacentral:rRNA from 1 species